rnacentral:rRNA from 1 species
GUCAAAUGAAGUAAGGCUGAUGGCGGAUAACUAGGCACUUAGAGUCGAUGAAAGGCGUGCAAACCUGCGAUAUGCUUCGGGGAGCUGGAAAGAAGCUUUGAUCCGGAGAUUCCUGAAUAGGACAACCUCUAGUACUUCAGAUUGAAUUCAUAGAUCUGAAAGAGAUAACCCGGUGAAUUGAAACAUCUUAGUAGCCGGAGGAAAAGAAAGCAAACGCGAUUCCUUUAGUAGCGGCGAGCGAAAGAGGAGAAGCCUAAACCUAACUAAAGUGAGUUAGGGGUUGUGGGAGGACAUAAACUUCUUUUGUAAAAGGAAGAAUUUUAAUAAAUAAAGUAAAGAUAAAUGAAAGGGCUAAAUCCCCUACCAGAGAAGGUGAAAGUCCUGUAGUUGAAAAAAUUAGAAUCUUGUCUAAUCCCGAGUAGCAUGGGACACGUGGAAUCCCGUGUGAAUCUGCGAGGACCACCUCGUAAGGCUAAAUAGUACUAAGUGACCGAUAGCGAAAUAGUACCGUGAGGGAAAGUUGAAAAGAACUCCUGUGGGAGAGUGAAAUAGAACAUGAAACCGUCAGCUGACAAGCAGUAGGAGGAUUUUUGAAUCUGACUGCAUGCCUGUUGAAGAAUGAGCCUGCGACUUAGAGGGAAUGGCUAGGUUAAGUUAAUUCGGAGCCUGAGCGAAAGCAAGUCUUAAUAGGGCGUUUAAGUCAUUUCUUCUGGACCCGAACCCGGGUGAUCUAACCAUGGCCAGGAUGAAGCUUGGGUUAGACCAAGUGGAAGACCGAACCGACCAAUUUUGAAACAUUGGCGGAUGAGCUGUGGUUAGCUGGAGAAAUUCCAAUCGAACUCGGAGCUAGCUGGUUCUCCCCGAAAUGCGUUGAGGCGCAGCGAUCACGAUGAGCUAGCCUAGGGUAGAGCACUGUUUCGAUGCGGGCUGCGAAAGCGGUACCAAAUCCUGGCAAACUCCGAAUAUAGGCUAUAGCCUUCCGUGAAUCAGUGAGACCGUGGGGGAUAAGCUUCAUGGUCAAGAGGGAAAGAGCCCAGACUACCAGCUAAGGCCCCAAAAUGGACGCUAAGUGGAAAAGGAUGUGAAAGUGCUCAAACAACUAGGAGGUUUGCUUAGAAGCAGCCAACCUUUAAAGAGUGCGUAAUAGCUCACUAGUUUAGCGCUCUUGCGCCGAUAAUGGCCGGGACUAAGCGUCCUGCCGAAGCUGUAGGAUUUUUUAUUAAAUCUUUAAGCUAUAGAGAGAGAGUUUAAUUUAUAACUAAACUAGUCUUCUUUAGAAAAAAUUAAAGGCUGAAAAGAAUCGGUAGGGGAGCGUUCUGCUUUGGUUGAAGCUUUGAGGUAACUUUGGGUGGACAUGGCAGAAGUGCGAAUGUAGGCUUGAGUAACGAAAACAUUGGUGAGAAUCCAAUGCCCCGAAAACCUAAGGUUUCCUCUACAAGGCUCGUCCAUGGAGGGUUAGUCAGGACCUAAGGCUAGGCUGAAAAGCGUCGUCGAUGGCAAAGAGGUUAAUAUUCCUCUACUUAUUUUGAUGGGACACGAGGGACGAAGGAGGCGUAGUUGGAACUAUGAAUGGAAUCUAGUGCAAGCUUUCAAGGUGACGAUAGGUAGAAGAAAAACUAUCCUUGAGCUGAGAAGUUAUGCCGUCUUCUAAAUUGAUUUAGAAGACGCCAAUCAAGUCAAACUUCCUAGAAAAGCUCGAAAACCUGUUAAAAACAUCAAAAUAACCUGUACCUUAAACCGACACAGGUAGGUAGGUAGAGAAUACUAAGGGGCGCGAGAGAACUCGCUCUAAGGAACUCGGCAAAUUGGCCUCGUAACUUCGGGAGAAGAGGCGCCUUAGAGUGAUCUAAGGUUGCAGUGACCAGGCUCAGGCGACUGUUUAACAAAAACACAGGUCUCCGCUAAGUCGAAAGACAAUAUAUGGGGGCUGACGCCUGCCCAGUGCCGGAAAGUGAAGGAAGUUGGUUAUUUCCUAUGGAAAAAAGCUGAUAACCGAAGCUCCGGUGAACGGCGGCCGUAACUAUGACGGUUAACUCUACCUAAGGUAGAGCGAAAUUCAUUGUCGAGUAAGUUUCGACCUGCACGAAAGGCGUAACGAUCUGAGCACUGUCUCAGAGCGAGACUCGGUGAAAUAGACAUAUUCGUGAAGAUGCGAAUUAGGUUUACAUGGACAGAAAGACCCUAUAGAGCUUGACUGUAACCUGGAACUGGCUUCGGGCUUUUCUUGCGCAGCCUAGGUGGGAGGCGUUGAUACUUUCUUUCUGGAGAAAGUGGAGCCAUCAUUGAGAGACCACUCUGGGAAGGCUAGAAUCCUAAUGGUGAUCCUUGAAUCAGGACACUUGACAAUUUCAGGCGGGCAGUUUAUCUGGGGCGGAUGCCUUAUAAAGGGUAACUAAGGCGUGCAAAGGUUCCCUCAGUCUGGACGGAAAUCAGACGUGGAGUGUAAAGGCAGAAGGGAGCUUGACUGUGAGACAGACAAGUCGAGCAGGGGCGAAAGCCGGCCUUAGUGAUCCGACGAUGCAGAGUGGAAUGGUCGUCGCUCAACGGAUAAAAGUUACCUUAGGGAUAACAGGCUGAUCUUCUCCAAGAGUUCAUAUCGACGAGAAGGUUUGGCACCUCGAUGUCGGCUUGUCACAGCUCGGAGGAGUAGUAUCUUCCAAGAGUUGGGCUGUUCGCCCAUUAAAGUGGCACAUGAGCUGGGUUCAGAACGUCGUGAGACAGUUCGGUCCAUAUCCUGUAAACACGUUAGAAUAUUGAAGACAUUCUGCAAUAGUACGAGAGGACCUUGUAGAACCUGCCUAUAGUCUAUCAGUUAUCUUUCCAAAGGUAAACGCUGAGUAGCCACGCAGGGGUCCCUGGCAACAGGGAGUGGAUAACCGCUGAAAGCAUCUAAGUGGGAAGUCAAGUCUAAGAUGAAUAUUCUCUAUGAGACCGCGGGAAGACAACCCGAUUGAUAGGAAUCAAGUGUAAGGCUAGUAAUAGUUUUAGCUGAGAUUUACUAAAGGUCCAGUGAUUUUGAC